rnacentral:rRNA from 1 species
UAGGGAAUCUUCGGCAAUGGGGGCAACCCUGACCGAGCAACGCCGCGUGAGUGAAGAAGGUUUUCGGAUCGUAAAGCUCUGUUGUAAGAGAAGAACGAGUGUGAGAGUGGAAAGUUCACACUGUGACGGUAACUUACCAGAAAGGGACGGCUAACUACGUGCCAGCAGCCGCGGUAAUACGUAGGUCCCGAGCGUUAUCCGGAUUUAUUGGGCGUAAAGCGAGCGCAGGCGGUUAGAUAAGUCUGAAGUUAAAGGCUGUGGCUUAACCAUAGUACGCUUUGGAAACUGUUUAACUUGAGUGCAGAAGGGGAGAGUGGAAUUCCAUGUGUAGCGGUGAAAUGCGUAGAUAUAUGGAGGAACACCAGUGGCGAAAGCGGCUCUCUGGUCUGUAACUGACGCUGAGGCUCGAAAGCGUGGGGAGCAAACAGGAUUAGAUACCCUGGUAGUCCACGCCGUAACGAUGAGUGCUAGGUGUUGGGUCCUUUCCGGGACUCAGUGCCGCAGCUAACGCAUUAAGCACUCCGCCUGGGGAGUACGACCGCAAGGUU